CCUACGGGAGGCAGCAGUGAGGAAUAUUGGACAAUGGGCGCAAGCCUGAUCCAGCCAUGCCGCGUGCAGGAUGACGGUCCUAUGGAUUGUAAACUGCUUUUGCACAGGAAGAAACAACAUUACGUGUAAUGUCUUGACGGUACUGUGAGAAUAAGGAUCGGCUAACUCCGUGCCAGCAGCCGCGGUAAUACGGAGGAUCCAAGCGUUAUCCGGAAUCAUUGGGUUUAAAGGGUCCGUAGGCGGUUUAGUAAGUCAGUGGUGAAAGCCCAUCGCUCAACGGUGGAACGGCCAUUGAUACUGCUAGACUUGAAUUAUUAGGAAGUAACUAGAAUAUGUAGUGUAGCGGUGAAAUGCUUAGAGAUUACAUGGAAUACCAAUUGCGAAGGCAGGUUACUACUAAUUGAUUGACGCUGAUGGACGAAAGCGUGGGUAGCGAACAGGAUUAGAUACCCUGGUAGUCCACGCCGUAAACGAUGGAUACUAGCUGUUGGGAGCGAUCUCAGUGGCUAAGCGAAAGUGAUAAGUAUCCCACCUGGGGAGUACGUUCGCAAGAAUGAAACUCAAAGGAAAUUGACGGCUGAGACGNGCGAGGACGACACGAGGGAGAGG
rnacentral:rRNA from 1 species